rnacentral:tmRNA from 1 species
GGGGAUGUUCUGGUUUCGACAGGAGUGAACAACUAAUUGUGGCAGUGGUUUGGUAGACCAUAAUACUACGAGGUUUCAUAACCGGAAAACAAACUAAAACCGUAGUACCUAACUGAUUCACAACAAAGUUAAACAACUUUGGAUUUGGUUUAGGAAAUCAAGCAGUUUUACCUGCUUAAUUACUUAAGAAGUAAAUACUACCGUUACUAAUAGCAAGUUUAUCAUUAUUAGUAACGUAUCAUAGGAUAAACUAGAAAAAAUGAUGUUAAUAAAUUUUUUCGAAUUUCCAUUAACUAGCUAUUCAUAAUUUUGUAUAAUUUAUUAUUAAAUAGUGAUUUUUCUAAAUUAUACUAAACUGUAGAUACAGUUAGUCAGUUAACUUUUGGACGCGGGUUCGAUCCCCGCCAUCUCCACCA